rnacentral:rRNA from 1 species
UACAGAGGGUGCAAGCGUUGUUCGGAAUUAUUGGGCGUAAAGCGCGUGUAGGCGGCUUUGCAAGUCGGGUGUGAAAUCCCUCAGCUCAACUGAGGAAGUGCGCCCGAAACUGCAUGGCUCGAGUACCGGAGAGGAUGGUGGAAUUCCCCAAGUAGAGGUGAAAUUCGUAGAUAUCGGGAGGAACACCAGUGGCGAAGGCGGUUGCCUGGAGCUUUGCUGACGCUGAUGCGCGAAAGCGUGGGGAGCGAUCCGG